UUAAAGGUUUUGAGAAGGACAUGAUUUGUUGGACUGAGUUAGUACAGAGAUGGGAGCCUUGGCUGUAAGCUUCCUCUAUACCAUCAACUGAUUACCCCCUUUGAACCCUGCUGUGGAAAUGAAGUAAAUAGCAGCGUAUGAUCUGCGUUAAAGAUGUUAUGAAGCCGUAAUUUAUUUUUACGGAAACUUGGGUGGAACCACGACGUGUCAGCGCUCGUCCCUUUG
rnacentral:ncRNA from 1 species